GAUGAACGCUGGCGGCGUGCCUAACACAUGCAAGUCGAACGAAGCACUUUUGUGAAAGCCUUCGGGUGGAAGCGUUAGUGACUGAGUGGCGGACGGGUGAGUAACGCGUGGGCAACCUGCCCCGUACCGGGGGACAACGGCCGGAAACGGCCGCUAAUACCGCAUGUUCGCCUUGCCAGGCAUCUGGCGGGGCGCAAAACUCCGGUGGUACGGGAUGGGCCCGCGUCCGAUUAGCUAGUUGGCGCGGUAACGGCGCACCAAGGCGACGAUCGGUAGCCGGCCUGAGAGGGCGGACGGCCACAUUGGGACUGAGACACGGCCCAAACUCCUACGGGAGGCAGCAGUGGGGAAUAUUGCACAAUGGGGGGAACCCUGAUGCAGCGACGCCGCGUGAGGGAGGAAGUAUCUCGGUAUGUAAACCUCUAUCAGCAGGGAAGAAGUUGACGGUACCUGACUAAGAAGCACCGGCUAAAUACGUGCCAGCAGCCGCGGUAAUACGUAUGGUGCAAGCGUUAUCCGGAUUUACUGGGCGUAAAGGGAGCGUAGGCGGCUCGGAAAGUCUGAUGUGAAAGCCCGCGGCCCAACCGCGGACCUGCAUUGGAAACUUCUGGGCUCGAGUAUCGGAGGGGCAGGCGGAAUUCCUGGUGUAGCGGUGAAAUGCGUAGAUAUCAGGAGGAACACCGGUGGCGAAGGCGGCCUGCUGGACGAAGACUGACGCUGAGGCUCGAAAGCGUGG
rnacentral:rRNA from 1 species